AAGCUUCUUAUUGAAAGACUCUUAUACAUGGAUUGAGCAGUGAGUUCCUCUUGUAUUGUUUUAUUUUAUUCUCUCAUAGUGAAGCUUGCACACCCGAUGGAGGUAGGCUUGAGACUGAUCCAUGUAUUUGUAUUAUGUUUCUUCUUUCUUUCUACUAUAAUGAGUGAUACCAGAUCCUGUAAAAUAAUUGAUAUCAGAGUAUGAUGGUACCAAAGCAUAGGUUGUGGUGGUGG
rnacentral:lncRNA from 1 species